CAGGAAGUAGUUUAAUAAGAAUAUCAGCUUUGGGUGUUGAUGGUGGGGCGUUAAGCCUUCUUCCUGA
rnacentral:tRNA from 1 species